rfam:Rubidibacter lacunae KORDI 51-2 KR51_contig00023, whole genome shotgun sequence.
GGGCAAGUGGCGGAAUUGGUAGACGCACCGCACUCAAAAUGCGGCGGCUUCGGCCUUGAGAGUUCGAGUCUCUCCUUGCCCA